GAUGAAGAACGCAGCGAAAUGCGAUAAGUAAUGUGAAUUGCAGAAUUCAGUGAAUCAUCGAAUCUUUGAACGCACAUUGCGCCCCUUGGUAUUCCGAGGGGCAUGCCUGUUCGAGCGUCAUUAUAACCCUCAAGCUCAGCUUGGUGUUGGGGCCUGCUGCACUGGCAGCCCUUAAAAUCAGUGGCGGCGCCAUCUGGCUCUAAGCGUAGUAAUUCUUCUCGCUAUGGAGUCCUGGUGGGCGCUUGCCAUCAACCCCCAAUUUUUCUAUGGUUGACCUCGGAUCAGGUAGGGAUACCCGCUGAACUUAAGCAUAUCAAUAAGCGGAGGA
rnacentral:misc_RNA from 1 species